AUUGAACGCUGGCGGCAGGCCUAACACAUGCAAGUCGAACGAGCGGCGGACGGGUGAGUAAUGUCUGGGAAACUGCCUGAGGGAGGGGGAUAACUACUGGAAACGGUAGCUAAUACCGCAUACCAUCAGAUGUGCCCAGAUGGGAUUAGCUUGUGGGUGGGGUAACGGCUUACCAAGGCGACGAUCCCUAGCUGGUCUGAGAGGAUGACCAGCCACACUGGAACUGAGACACGGUCCAGACUCCUACGGGAGGCAGCAGUGGGGAAUAUUGCACAAUGGGCGCAAGCCUGAUGCAGCCAUGCCGCGUGUGUGAAGAAGGCCUUCGGGUUGUAAAGUACUUUCAGCGGGGAGGCGUUACCCGCAGAAGAAGCACCGGCUAACUCCGUGCCAGCAGCCGCGGUAAUUC
rnacentral:rRNA from 1 species